ensembl:misc_RNA Metazoa_SRP Metazoan signal recognition particle RNA
GCUGGGCGCGGUGGCACAUGCUUGUCGUCCCAGCUACUCAGGAGGCUGAGGUGGGAGGAUCGCUUGAGCCCAGGAGUUCUCGGCUGUAGUAUACUAUGCUGAUCGGGUGUCCGCACUGAGUUCAGCAUCAAUAUGGUGACCUCCCAGGAGCAGGGGACCACCAGGUUACCUAAGGAGGGGUGAACCAGCCCAGGUUGAAAACGGAGCAGGUCAAAACUCCCUUGCUGAUCAGUAGUGGGAUGGCGCCUGUGAAUAGCCACUGCAUUCCAGCCUGGGCAACAGAGUGAGACCCCAUCUCUU